AAAAUUGACUAUAAAGGGCAAUAACUCCUAAACAGGUCAACUGACCAUUUUGGUCAUGUUGACUUAUUUGUAGAUCUUACUUUGCUGAACAUUAUUGCUGUUUACAGUUUAUCUCUAUCUAUAAUAAUAUUCAAGAUAAUAACCAAAAACAGCAAAAUUUCCUCAAAAUUACCAAUUCAGGGGCAGCAACCCAACAACCGAUUGAUCGAUUCAUCUGAAAAUU
rnacentral:lncRNA from 1 species